CAGUCGCCGCGGUAAUACGUAGGGUGCAAGCGUUAAUCGGAAUUACUGGGCGUAAAGCGUGCGCAGGCGGUUAUAUAAGACAGAUGUGAAAUCCCCGGGCUCAACCUGGGAACUGCAUUUGUGACUGUAUAGCUAGAGUACGGCAGAGUGGGAUGGAAUUCCGCGUGUAGCAGUGAAAUGCGUAGAUAUGCGGAGGAACACCGAUGGCGAAGGCAAUCCCCUGGGCCUGUACUGACGCUCAUGCACGAAAGCGUGGGGAGCAAACAGGAUUAGAUACCCCUGUAGUCCCUGUCUCUUAUAC
rnacentral:rRNA from 1 species